rnacentral:rRNA from 1 species
AGUGAACGUUGGCGGCGUGGAUUAGGCAUGCAAGUCGAGCGAGAACCGUAGCAAUACGGGGACAGCGGCGAAAGGGACAGUAAUGUGUAGGUACCUACCUCCGGGUUCGGGAUAGCUGCGGGAAACUGCAGGUAAUACCGAAUAACGUCUCCGGACCAGAGGUGUGAUUCCACCUGGAGAGGGGCCUGCAUCCUAUUAGCUUGUUGGCGGGGUAACGGCCCACCAAGGCGACGAUGGGUAGCGGGUGUGAGAGCACGACCCGCGUCAUUGGGACGGAGACACUGCCCAGACACCUACGGGUGGCUGCAGUCGUGAAUCUUCGGCAAUGGGCGCAAGCCUGACCGAGCGACGCCGCGUGCGGGAUGAAGGCCUUCGGGUUGUAAACCGCUGUCGUAGAGGAGGAAAUGCAGGGGGGUUCUCCCCUCUGUUUGACCUAUUCUAGGAGGAAGUACGGGCUAAGUUCGUGCAAGCCGCCGCAGUAA